AUACCCCAUCAUCUCUGAAGAAAGCCAAGAUACUUAGCUCUAGACUAUGGUCAGCAUUAAGAAAGAACAGGUGCUCCCCCAGGCCAGGCAGAGAAUGUCAGGAAACAGGAAAAGUCAAUCCCAGUGCUAGACAUGGUGAUGGGAGGCACCACAGUGAAGGCUGCCAAAAUUCAAAGGUGUCUGAGCUUAGCUGAGCUCCUGAGAUUGCUGAGGGCAAUGCUGAUUGCCUGCAUAAGCAGUGGGGCCCAUCCUGAACCAAGCUGCAGAACUACCCUUGUGUAGAGCAGGUCACUCAAAAGGUCCAUGUCCUGGGAGACAAAAGAAUUGAAAAGGCAACUUUAUCAGCUGUCCCUAACUAUAACACCACCAUCAUGGGCAGAGUGCCCACUGUGAUAUCUGCAGGAGAUCUCACUAUUGGCUAUUCCUCUCAUCAGGAUAGGCUUCCAGACAAGUUCCCACAGAUGGAUUUACACAUUUUCUUACCAUUUUGGAGGCUCUUUUUUUUGAAUGAAGAACAUUUCAGAAACCAUCAGCAUUUUAACUUCAAGUUGCCAGGUAUUAGUAUCUGUCUGUUGGGCUUUUCUCCUAACGGUGCCAAAAUACAGUAAGUGCGUUAAAAGUGUAAAUCGUGUUUCUCUACUCCAAAUGGUAAAGGAGGAAAUACAGAAUAAAUUGAGGAAGAGGGGCUGUGUCAGAAAAUGGAAAAAAGUGAAGGAAGUGUGUUUAACAUACUACAAGUCAAAGAGAAGUGCAAUAAGCCCAGAAAAGUGUUGAGGGUACUGCCUUGGAGGGACCUUUCUCUAUGGAAGCUUGUGCAAAACUGUGGAAAUCAGCCAUGAAAUGUUCUGCCAGCAAAUGGUCACCUGAGGCACCAUUCAUGACCUGCAUCCUACAAGGAAUAAGAACUUGCAUGAACUCACAAUCAGUAUUGGAUAGUAGAUGAACAGCAAAUGCGUUCCCUGCAGGACACAAUCAGCAAUAGCUUAGAGAUAGCAUAGACGAUGAACUGUCAAAGAACCAAAGCCAGAGUUCACUUGAUUAAAGCAAAGUAUGUGUGUA